UACGGAGGAUGCAAGCGUUAUCCGGAAUGAUUGGGCGUAAAGCGUCCGCAGGUGGCGUUGUAAGUCUGCUGUUAAAGAGCAAAGCUUAACUUUGUAAAAGCAGUGGAAACUACAUCGCUAGAGUGCGUUCGGGGCAGAGGGAAUUCCUGGUGUAGCGGUGAAAUGCGUAGAGAUCAGGAAGAACACCGGUGGCGAAGGCGCUCUGCUAGGCCGCAACUGACACUGAGGGACGAAAGCGUGGGGAGCAAACAGG
rnacentral:rRNA from 1 species